CUUCUCUCAGGGUGGCACCUGGAGAGUUUCCAGUACUCUACCAGUCUCGACUACGGGAGGGGGAGUCAAGCAGAGGCAUACCCAUUCCAUUCCUAGUUUAGGCAGUGGCUAGCGAGUGGAAAGCAAUCUGCUACAAAU
rnacentral:snoRNA from 1 species